GUAACCGGUAUGCAUCUUGUUUACCUGUCCACCGACCUGAUGUCUGCCUGGUUAUCGGUCUACUGUAGCGCCACAAGAUCCAUGGUGCGGCAGCAGCCCUUUCAUCAGCUGAGUGUGUGCCCUGCAAUCAGAGCUCAGGGCCUGUGAUAAUCAUAGGUGCUGAGAACUGCCAGUGGGAGCAGUGCCCCUUGUGGUGGCGGGUCCCGCUGUGGCUGUG